rnacentral:rRNA from 1 species
UACAGAGGGUGCAAGCGUUAAUCGGAAUUACUGGGCGUAAAGCGUGCGUAGACGGUUAUGUAAGUCAGAUGUGAAAGCCCCGGGCUCAACCUGGGAAUUGCAUUUGAGACUGCAUAGCUAGGGUGCGGAAGAGGGAAGCGGAAUUUCCGGUGUAGCGGUGAAAUGUGUAGAGAUCGGGAGGAACACCGGUGGCGAAGGCGGGUCUCUGGGCAAUUCCUGACGCUGAGGCGCGAAAGCGUGGGGAGCAAACGGG